rnacentral:tRNA from 1 species
ACCUGGCUGGCUCAGUUGGUAGGGUAUGGGACUCUUAAUCUCAGGGUCAAGAGUUCAAGCCUCAUGUUAGGUG